rnacentral:tRNA from 1 species
AAUUAUUUGGCUGAACGCCCAAGCAACUACCUUGAAAGUAGUCUAAAAGAGUUUAACUCUCUUAAUAAUUU